rnacentral:rRNA from 1 species
AACGAACGCUGGCGGCAGGCCUAACACAUGCAAGUCGAGCGAGCGAUUCGGUGCUAGCGGCGGACGGGUUAGUAACGCGUGGGAACGUGCCCUUUGCUACGGAAUAGUCCUGGGAAACUGGGGGUAAUACCGUAUGUGCCCUUCGGGGGAAAGAUUUAUCGGCAAAGGAUCGGCCCGCGUUGGAUUAGGUAGUUGGUGGGGUAAUGGCCUACCAAGCCGACGAUCCAUAGCUGGUUUGAGAGGAUGAUCAGCAACACUGGGACUGAGACACGGCCCAGACUCCUACGGGAGGCAGCAGUGGGGAAUCUUAGACAAUGGGCGCAAGCCUGAUCUAGCCAUGCCGCGUGGACGAUGAAGGCCUUAGGGUUGUAAAGUCCUUUCAGCUGGGAAGAUAAUGACGGUACCAGCAGAAGAAGCCCCGGCUAACUCCGUG